UGUGAAGCCUGAACUCCAGUAGGGCCCAAGCCAGCCAGGAAGGAGGAGGCAGCCAGAGAGGCCUCCACUGUUCUCUGCAGCAGAAGACCCCCUGCUGCCAGCAAAUCUGCUAUGAGUUUGGAAAUGAGAACAUUGGCAAGCUAGUGGACAAAUACAGAAACAUCUUAGAUCUUGGUCAAGUGCAUUCCUCUGCUGAAAACACCAUGAUGGGAGAGAAGGAGUUCAUUCUGAACCAAUACCAUGAAUCCAUGGUUGAACAGAAAUGUGAAUUAAAGUAGUUGAAAAUUUUCCAGGACAUUGUGACUUUCACUCUGCAUAAUUCUGAAAAAUAUAGUGUAAUAUCUCAACUGGUAGAUAUCUGUGCAACCUUUCAGGCUUCAAGUACAGAUUGUGAGCAUGGUUUCAGCCUUAUAAAUAACAUCCAAACCAGCUCACAAAACAGACUGAAGGAAAAGUACUUGGACAUGCUGAUGAGGAUUAAAUUUCACAUUUCAAGUGGUGGAAGAAUAGACCUUGACAAAAUAUAUUAAUACUGGAAGAACAAUAAAGACAUAAGAGAGACAUUUUUUGAACAGCAGGGGCAGCAAAAAUCUGCAGUGUAAUUAAUACACUGAUAUUUCUGAUAUUUGGGGGGGGGGUUAUAUUUCUGUCAAACUAAUUUGAAUAUUGAAGUAUUAUCUCUUCCAAUAACUGUUUGUUGAAGUAUAGUUUGCUGAAGUAUAGUUACAAAGGAAUUGUAACAAAGGAUUUUGGGCUUCUUCCCUUUUAUAGAGGUUAAAUGAGCAAAGCAUACACAGCUUGGAGAGUUAUGGGGCUCUUCCUUAAUAGGAUGUUCCCUGGGAUUUUUUUUUUAGCAAAGCUUUUGUGUGUUAAUAGCUGCAUUCAAUCCAUGGCACUGAGAAAACUGAAUCCCAUGAUCCACUCCCUUUUCAGCCAGUAUUAUGCUUUUAAACAAAAGUGAAAGUUGCAUUUUUAAAUAGCUGUUUAAAUAUAGUUCAAGUUGUUGUGAUGCUAAGCUAAAUGAUAUUCUUAUCUAAGUGUAUAGAAAUCGGAAUGUAUGGCAUUCCUAUCUGGCAAACUUUUAAAAGGCCUUGUUUUAGAGUCUGCCUUGUUUUUAUUAUACGUAAAUAUGAAGUGAAAUAAAGUAAAAACCCAAUUUUAUGAACAGAAUAGGAUUUGUGACAAUACUUCUCUCCAGACCUUCUUUAUUGCAUAGAAUUAAAACAUAAAUAAAACUAGAACAGAGAACAAAUAUUAUGACAUAAACACAUCAGUCUCAGAGUUGUAAUUUUAUUUAGGUUGUAAGUAAAACACUACAACCUCUCUGUUGUAGUUUUAUUUAUGUUUUAAUUUUACGCAAUAAAGAAGGUCUGGAGAGGAGUAUUGUCGCAGAUUGUCACAAUAUCAUGCGUAUUGCAUUGCCUUUAGAUCAGCUAAUAUAGAAUAGAAUUGUAAAAUACACUUCUUUCUUUCCAUA